rnacentral:rRNA from 1 species
AGAGUUUGAUCAUGGCUCAGGAUAAACGCUAGCGGCGUGCCUUAUGCAUGCAAGUCGAACGGUCCUUCCAGCAAUGGAAGGAUAGUGGCAACCGGGUGAGUAACGCGUAGGUAACCUACCCCCAAGUGGGGGAUAACCCUGGGAAACCGGGGCUAAUACCGCAUGUGGUAGUGGAGGUAAAGCUUCAUUACUAAAGCCUUAGGGCGCUAGGGGAGGGGCCUGCGUCCGAUUAGCUAGUUGGUAGGGUAACGGCUUACCAAGGCGAUGAUCGGUAGCUGGUCUGAGAGGAUGGUCAGCCACACUGGGACUGAGACACGGCCCAGACUCCUACGGGAGGCAGCAGCAAGGAAUCUUGUGCAAUGGGCGAAAGCCUGACACAGCGACGUCGCGUGGGGGAUGAAGGCUUUCGGGUUGUAAACCCCUUUUCUCAGGGAAGAAAAAUGACGGUACCUGAGGAAUAAGUCUCGGCUAACUACGUGCCAGCAGCCGCGGUAAUACGUAGGAGGCGAGCGUUAUCCGGAUUUACUGGGCGUAAAGCGGACGCAGGCGGCCUUUCAAGUCGGAUGUAAAAUCUCCUGGCUCAACCAGGAGGGACCAUCCGAUACUGUUGGGCUAGAGGGCAGCAGGGGGAGGUGGAAUUCCCUGUGUAGUGGUGAAAUACGUAGAUAUCGGGAGGAACACCAGUGGCGAAGGCGGCCUCCUGGGCUGUUACUGACGCUGAGGUCCAAAAGCGUGGGGAGCGAACAGGAUUAGAUACCCUGGUAGUCCACGCCCUAAACGAUGGACACUAGGUAUGGGGAGUAUCGAACCUCUCCGUGCCGAAGCUAACGCGUUAAGUGUCCCGCCUGGGGACUACGGCCGCAAGGCUAAAACUCAAA